GAUGGCCGGCCCGGGAACCUGAGCUCCUGCGCGGUCACCGUGGUCCCCUCCGCGCCUAAGCGCAUCGGUGGGCAAGUGGGACCGCGGCGCUCCGUGGGUGGAGCCGAAGUGUUCCGUGGGUGGAGCAGGCGGCCAGACGCGGCGCCCAAAGGGGCCGCGGAGCCGGAAUCGCGCGCGCCGAGCCGCCCGGGAAGGCGGGAGAGCGCGUGGGGCGCGAGGGGCGCGGGGCAGCAUGAGUCAGCAGCGGCCGGCGCGGAGACUGCCCAGCCUGCUGGUGGAUCCGGCGCAGGAGACGGUGCGCCGCCGCUGCCGGGACCCCAUCAACGUGGAGAGCCUACUGCCGUCAAAAAUAAGGAUUAACCUAGAGGAAAACGUGCAGUAUGUGUCCAUGCGAAAGGCUCUGAAAGUGAAAAGGCCCCGUUUUGAUGUGUCGCUGGUGUACUUGACUCGCAAGUUCAUGGAUCUCGUCAGAUCUGCCCCCGGGGGCAUUCUUGACUUAAACAAGGUUGCCACAAAACUGGGAGUCCGAAAACGGCGCGUCUAUGACAUCACCAAUGUCCUGGAUGGAAUCGAGCUGGUGGAAAAGAAGUCCAAGAACCACAUUCGGUGGAUAGGAUCCGACCUGAAGAACUUUGGAGCUGCACCCCAGCAGAAGAAGCUCCAGGCCGAGCUCUCGGACCUGUCGGCCAUGGAAGACGCCUUGGACGAGUUGAUUAAAGAUUGCGCUCAGCAGCUGUUGGAGUUAACCGAUGACAAAGAAAACGAAAGACUAGCAUAUGUCACCUAUCAGGACAUCCACAACAUCCAAGCCUUCCACGAACAGAUUGUCAUUGCAGUGAAGGCUCCGGAGGAAACCCGACUAGACGUUCCCGCUCCCAGAGAAGUAGGUAGCGCCACUCUGCAAGGAGUAAAAGAGGGAGGACUCUAUCACGGUACAUAUCAGGAGCACCAAAGGACCCAUUGAUGUAUAUUUGUGUGAAGUAGACCAGAACCACCCAAGUGGUAAAACAGCCGAUGGAGCAGGGGCCUCUCCAUCUAAAAGCAAACAUCGAGAAUGCCCAGAGAAAGAAGACAGGCUUCCUCAGUGAAAGCCACUCAAAGUGGGCGACUGAUAGCCGUGCACAGUGAUGAAGGUUUCUGGGGCCUCCUGCAUGGACGGAUUAUAUCCUGGUUUGAUCCUCAGCAAUAAGUCUUCGUGGAGCGCACUGGGUCUCCCGUUCUAGAUUCAUAGCAGCGUUGAAGGCCAGUAGUGUUCUUGAGUAGCUUCCUGCUUAGGUUCCUGGAUGGUUUCCACGUUCAAAAUUAGCUUUCGAUAACUCUUCACUGCCUCUUGUCAGUGAGACGGACCUCUGCCUCCUGAAAUCAUUUUAUCAGAAAGAAUGUCAUGAGGACAGACAGAUGACCAGCUGGUCGUGGACUCUGCCCUUCUCUGAUGGACGUUGUUAGCUUCUAAGAAGAAUUGCCUUACACUGGCUCACAUCCGCGAUUGAUUAGGUGUCGUA